UGACUGUGCAAAGGUAGCAUAAUCAGUUGGCUUAUAAUUGAAGUCUUGUAUGAAUGGGAACUCGGGAACAAACUGUCUUUUAUAUAAUAUCUGAAUUUACUAAUUAAGUGAAAAUUCUUAAAUCUAGAAAAAAGACGAGAAGACCCUAGAAAUUUUUUAGUAUCUAUUUUGUUGGGGCGACAAGGUAACAAAAAACUUACCUAUGCAAUAGGAAAUUUUUUAGUGGUGUAAUUAAAUUACUCUAGGGAUAACAGCAUAAUAUUUAAAAGAUUGUGACCUCGAUGUUGGACUAGGAAAUAUACUGUUUAAAAGAUAGUCUAUAUAGUUCUGUUCGAACUAUACUCUCCUACAU
rnacentral:rRNA from 1 species